CCUACGGGAGGCAGCAGUAAGGAAUAUUGGUCAAUGGACGCAAGUCUGAACCAGCCAUGCCGCGUGGAGGAUGAAGGCCCUCUGGGUUGUAAACUUCUUUUAUCUGGGACGAAAAAAGGUUUUUCUAAAUCGUCUGACGGUACCAGAUGAAUAAGCACCGGCUAACUCCGUGCCAGCAGCCGCGGUAAUACGGAGGGUGCAAGCGUUAUCCGGAUUCACUGGGUUUAAAGGGUGCGUAGGCGGGCAGGUAAGUCAGUGGUGAAAUCCUUGAGCUUAACUCGAGAACUGCCAUUGAUACUAUCUGUCUUGAAUAUUGUGGAGGUGAGCGGAAUAUGUCAUGUAGCGGUGAAAUGCUUAGAUAUGACAUAGAACACCCAUUGCGAAGGCAGCUCACUACGCAUAUAUUGACGCUGAUGCACGAAAGCGUGGGGAUCAAACAGGAUUAGAUACCCUGGUAGUCCACGCCCUAAACGAUGAUUACUCGACAUACGCGAUACACUGUGUGUGUCUGAGCGAAAGCAUUAAGUAAUCCACCCUGGAAGUACGAUCGCAAGAUUGAAACUCAAAUUGAAUUGACGG
rnacentral:rRNA from 1 species